CACGUAGGGCGCAAGCGUUGUCCGGAAUCAUUGGGCGUAAAGAGCUCGUAGGUGGUCUGUUACGUCUGCUGUGAAAUCCUAGGGCUUAACCCUGGGCCUGCAGUGGAUACGGGCAGACUAGAGGUAGGUAGGGGAGAAUGGAAUUCCCGGUGUAGCGGUGAAAUGCGCAGAUAUCGGGAGGAACACCGGUGGCGAAGGCGGUUCUCUGGGCCUUACCUGACACUGAGGAGCGAAAGCGUGGGGAGCGAACAGG
rnacentral:rRNA from 1 species